rnacentral:rRNA from 1 species
UACGUAGGGGGCAAGCGUUGUCCGGAUUUAUUGGGCGUAAAGAGCGUGUAGGCGGCCAGGUAGGUCAGCUGUGAAAACCCGCAGCUCAACUGUGGGCUUGCAGCCGAUACGGGCGGGCUGGGAUUCGGUAGGGGAGACUGGAAUUCCUGGUGUAGCGGUGAAAUGCGUAGAUAUCAGGAGGAACACCGGUGGCGAAGGCGGGAUCCUGGGCCAGUACUGACGCUGAGGAGCGAAAGCGUGGGGAGCAAACAGG